AUGCAGAGCUAAUUAUAAUAUAGUUGUGAAAUGCUGUGUCAUUUCUGCUGUUCAAUUAAAAUUUGUUGUUUGUAACUAAACCUAUCUGUUUUAUUAUACGUCACAGCAGCCAGGUAUCCUUGAUGUCACAUAU
rnacentral:snoRNA from 1 species